CACCUGAAAUCAAACAUACUGGGGAUAAAAGUAGCUCCAAACUUUUUAUGUUUUAAAUUUGCUACAGAAUUCACUCUUGGUUAAAAAAAGACUGACAAAACCAAUAUAAAAGUAGUUAGUGGUUUAUAGAGUAAUUUUGCUAACUUGUAAAGAAAAAAUAUAUAUUUCCGCUGAAAAUCCGCACCAAAAUAUUGUGAAAAAGUAUUCCUGGCACAUUUACUUAAAACACCAUACAUUUUUUACGCAGAGAUUAUACAAACAAGCAAUUAUUUAAGCUGCAACUGGCUGAACAAUUAUAAGUUAAUGGAUGCGUGCUCACAUUAGCAUAACUUUAAAAUAAACGUUAUUAGUUAGAACUCACGUCGUGUAUACUACCUUAAACCUAUACACUAAAUAUUAGAUAAAUAGUUUAAAUUUAACCUUGUGCCUCGCUUUAACUUUGCAAUGUUAAUUUUUUGACAAUGAUCCAUAAGCACGGGCUAGGUAAACAGAUCUACAACUGUUACCUACGAUCCAUAAGCACGAGUAAAGAGCAUAGCAAAUCACAUGACAAGAAUAUCGGAAACGUCAAAUGAAGGAAGCAAUCGCGUUUGCAAACUUGAUUUUCUGUAGAACUUACAAAUGAAUCGUUGUUUUCGCUUUAGUUUUCUAUGAAAAUUGAGCCGACAGCGCAGACAGUGUUUGCGCAUCGCAAGCGUGUUUUUGCAGUGUUUACAGUCAAAAGCAGUUGAAUUUAUAAAUCAAAAAAUGUUUAAACCGGCUAUAAAGAAGUUUAAAUAAACAGAUAAGGGCCAUUGCAACAACCACUGCUGUUUUUCCUUUUUUUAUUCUUGACAGUUAGCGUGUUUUUGCACUUUUGAAAAAUUCGAUGCGAGAUCACACGAUCAUUAGUCUGUUGCAAUGAGCCAUUUUUGUCAUUGAAACGACUUUGAACGGGUCUAAUUAGUUUUCCCCUUGUGGUUCAUACAAGUAACUGCUUUUGAUUGUAGGUACCGCAGUGUAUAGGUUUUGGAUGCUUUUUUAUUUGCACAAAAACUAAAUUAAUUGACGAUGAUCGUAUCGCAUAAUGUACCAACAUAACUUUGCCAUCUAGUAUUUGUUCAAUCUUCAAGGAAAACUGAAGCGAAAACGACGAUUCAUUUGCAACAGAGUCCGUAUAGGCUAUAAACACAAUUUUUACGUUUAAGUUAUACUUUAAGCUUAUAAUGCUUCCAGACAUGCCUACACAAAACAGCAAGAACCUUUUUUGUUAGGGCACAACGUGGCAACACCAAGGUUUCGGAGUAACGAAGGUUUCUCAAAAAAGUCAGAAAAAGGCUGUCUAAANUAAAGGAUGUUAUAAAUUGUCGAGAGAGCGACAGUCCUUAGAUCAAUAUUCUAACAGUCAUGAAUCACAAACUUCUUAUCUGCCUGGUUCUCGUUUCUCUAAUGCAGGUCGCCGCGGGUUGCUGGAAUCUUAAAGACACAUUGGGACGCACUGACGAUGAACUACUGCUUCUAGAGAACGACGGUAAGAUUUUAUCUUUCAACUUUUUUACCGUGUAUAGCCCAUAGUCCUUUUGACUGCUUUUGAUUUUUUUAAUGAAGCCGAAGUUUUCCCCAGGUAUAAAAAUCAUAUAUAGU